rnacentral:rRNA from 1 species
AACUUUCAACAACGGAUCUCUUGGUUCUGGCAUCGAUGAAGAACGCAGCGAAAUGCGAUAAGUAAUGUGAAUUGCAGAAUUCAGUGAAUCAUCGAAUCUUUGAACGCACAUUGCGCCCGCCAGUAUU